rnacentral:rRNA from 1 species
CAAUAGCGUAUAUUAAAGUUGUUGCGGUUAAAAGCUCGUAGUUGGAUUUCUGCCGAGGACGACCGGUCCGCCCUCUGGGUGAGUAUCUGGCUUGGCCUGGGCAUCUUCUUGGAGAACGUAGCUGCACUUGACUGUGUGGUGCGGUAUCCAGGACUUUUACUUUGAGGAAAUUAGAGUGUUUCAAGCAGGCAUGCGCCUUGAAUACAUUAGCAUGGAAUAAUAAGAUAGGACCUCGGUUCUAUUUUGUUGGUUUCUAGAGCUGAGGUAAUGAUUAAUAGGGAUAGUUGGGGGCAUUCGUAUUUAACUGUCAGAGGUGAAAUUCUUGGAUUUGCUGAAGACUAACUACUGCGAAAGCAUUCGCCAAGGAUGUUUUUCAUUAAUCAGGGAACGAAAGUUAGGGGAGUCGA